UGCAUCCGAUCCUUUUUAGAAAACCAGAACCGAUACAAGAUAAUUCAACAGACGAUAGAUGGAAAUGGUUUAAGGGAUGUUUGGGUGCUCUAGAUAGAACGUAUAUUAAGGUUAAUGUAGUUGCAAUCGAUAAACCUAGAUACAGAACAAGAAAAAAUGAAAUUGCGACAAAUGUACUUGGUGUUUGCACACCAAACAUGCAAUUCAUUUAUGUUUUACCUGGGUGGGAAGGUUCUGCAGCUGAUGGUAGAAUACUCAGAGAUGCCAUUAGUAGAAGAAAUGGUUUAAAUGUUCCACAAGGGUGUUACUACUUAUGUGAUGCCGGAUACACAAAUGGAGAGGGAUUUCUUGCACCAUAUAGAGGUCAAAGAUACCACUUGAAUGAUUGGAGAGAAGGACACCAACCUACCACCCCUCAAGAAUAUUUCAACAUAAAACAUUCUCAAGCUAGG